GAUGAACGCUGGCGGCGUGCCUAAUACAUGCAAGUCGAGCGAACAGACGAGGAUCUUGCUCCUCUGACGUUAGCGACGGACGGGUGAGUAACACGUGGAUAACCUACCUAUAAGACUGGGAUAACUUCGGGAAACCGGAGCUAAUACCGGAUAAUAUAUUGAACCGCAUGGUUCAGUAGUGAAAGACGGUUUUGCUGUCGCUUAUAGAUGGAUCCGCGCCUCAUUAGCUAGUUGGUAAGGUAACGGCUUACCAAGGAAACGAUGCGUAGCCGACCUGAGAGGGUGAUCGGCCACACUGGAACUGAGACACGGUCCAGACUCCUACGGGAGGCAGCAGUAGGGACUCUUCCGCAAUGGGCGAAAGCCUGACGGAGCAACGCCGCGUGAGUGAUGAAGGUCUUCGGAUCGUAAAACUCUGUUAUUAGGGAAGAACAAAUGUGUAAGUAACUAUGCACGUCUUGACGGUACCUAAUCAGAAAGCCACGGCUAACUACGUG
rnacentral:rRNA from 1 species